rnacentral:lncRNA from 10 species
UCCACACCACAGCAGCCUAGUCCUGAAUCCACACCACAGCAGCCUAGCCCUGAAUCCACACCACAGCAUUCCAGCCUUGAAACCACCUCCCGGCAGCCAGCAUUCCAAGCCCUUCCAGCACCCGAAAUCCGCCGCUCCUCUUGCUGCCUUUUAUCUCCAGAUGCUAACGUGAAGGCAGCCCCUCAAUCCAGGAAAGCAGGGCCUCUGAUUCGCGCCGGCCCGCAUUCCUGCUCCUGUGCCACUUGCCCCUGCAGCUCCGCUUGCUGGCGUCGUCUGGGGCUAUGCCAUAGCCGCAUCUUCGAUGUCCUUCUGCCUCGGGACUGGCAGAUGGCGCCAGGGAGAGGACUCCCCAACCUGCUCACCUUCUACAGAAAAUCUUCAAGAAAACCCUCCAGUCAUCGUAACGCGUGUCCUCCAAGCCCUCGGAACUGUGGCUGUGGCUCUGGGGGCUCUAGGAGCUGCCUACUACAUCACUGAAUCCUUGUGAACAAGCCCCUAGGCCCACAGUCUGGCAGGAGGUGCUUUUAAUGUGCUGAUAAACCAACCUCAGGAAGGUAUUAUGUACAGAAGAUUCCCAAGGCUGCUGUUGCUGAAAGAGACUUGGGCUACUGCCAGGGAACUAGACCCCCUCAAUAUCCUCCUCAGAUUUGCCCUGCACUUCUUGUUCCAUGCUUGGGGUCCUAAGAACAAGCCAUCUGAUGCCUCUACUAUCAUUACCUCUAUUGGGACCCAGAAACCAAUACCCCAAAAUAUGGUGCAUGGACAUGCUGAACUGAAGAAGAUGCCUCAAGGCAAGUUCUCUCUGGCCUCCCCACUCGACUCCCCACCCCACUCUCUAUCGUUUGUCUCUCUCAAAAC